GAUGAACGCUGGCGGCGUGCCUAGUACAUGCAAGUCGAGCGAACAGACGAGGAGCUUGCUCCUCUGACGUUAGCGGCGGACGGGUGAGUAACACGUGGAUAACCUACCUAUAAGACUGGGAUAACUUCGGGAAACCGGAGCUAAUACCGGAUAACAUGUUGAACCGCAUGGUUCAACAGUGAAAGACGGUCUUGCUGUCACUUAUAGAUGGAUCCGCGCCGCAUUAGCUAGUUGGUAAGGUAACGGCUUACCAAGGCAACGAUGCGUAGCCGACCUGAGAGGGUGAUCGGCCACACUGGAACUGAGACACGGUCCAGACUCCUACGGGAGGCAGCAGUAGGGAAUCUUCCGCAAUGGGCGAAAUCCUGACGGAGCAACGCCGCGUGAGUGAAGAAGGUCUUCGGAUCGUAAAACUCUGUUAUUAGGGAAGAACAAAUGUGUAAGUAACUAUGCACGUCUUGACGGUACCUAAUCAGAAAGCCACGGCUAACUACGUG
rnacentral:rRNA from 1 species